CGCAAUGCUAAUCAUGCUACUUGAUAGUUAGAGGUUCAAUAGUAAUGGGCAGUACGCCAAGAGAAGUAGAUCGUUUAUUCAUCAGCAUCUACUUACUAAUCAUCCAACUUGAGAUAUCUAUCCAGAACAUCUCGCCGGUAUUAAGUUGUGAGCCUCACCCAAAUUGUAAACCCAAAGCAACGAACAACUUCAUUAACGAACUAUGUGUAAGGUAAACAAUUAUUGCAACCGUGGUCACAAGCACCGUUGUUUUCUCCCUGGUGGCAAUAGCACAUCCCCUAGUCUCAUGUUUCUAUCACUCAAGCUAGACAUCGAGGGGCAUGAACCCACAAUCAUGCAUAAUGCUCCCUCUUGGAGUUAUAAUCUACUACUCGGACAAAGCAAUAAUUAGCAUCGGAGAAUAUGCAUGAAUCACUAAGGAAUAUAAUAU
rnacentral:lncRNA from 1 species